AACGAACGCUGGCGGCAGGCUUAACACAUGCAAGUCGAACGCCCCGCAAGGGGAGUGGCAGACGGGUGAGUAACGCGUGGGAACAUACCCUUUUCUACGGAAUAGCUCUGGGAAACUGGAAUUAAUACCGUAUACGCCCUACGGGGGAAAGAUUUAUCGGGGAAGGAUUGGCCCGCGUUGGAUUAGCUAGUUGGUGGGGUAAAGGCCUACCAAGGCGACGAUCCAUAGCUGGUCUGAGAGGAUGAUCAGCCACAUUGGGACUGAGACACGGCCCCAACUCCCACCGGAGGGAGGAGGUGGGAAAAAUGGAAAAAGGGCGGCAGGCUGAAUCAGCCAUGCCGCGUGAGUGAUGAAGGCCUUAGGGUUGUAAAGCUCUUUCACCGAUGAAGAUAAUGACGGUAGUCGGAGAAGAAGCCCCGGCUAACUUCGUG
rnacentral:rRNA from 1 species